rnacentral:rRNA from 1 species
CGCUGGCGGCAGGCUUAACACAUGCAAGUCGAGCGGGGAAGAGUAGCUUGCUACUUUACCUAGCGGCGGACGGGUGAGUAAUGCUUAGGAAUCUGCCUAUUAGUGGGGGACAACAUUUCGAAAGGAAUGCUAAUACCGCAUACGUCCUACGGGAGAAAGCAGGGGACCUUCGGGCCUUGCGCUAAUAGAUGAGCCUAAGUCGGAUUAGCUAGUUGGUGGGGUAAAGGCCUACCAAGGCGACGAUCUGUAGCGGGUCUGAGAGGAUGAUCCGCCACACUGGGACUGAGACACGGCCCAGACUCCUACGGGAGGCAGCAGUGGGGAAUAUUGGACAAUGGGGGCAACCCUGAUCCAGCCAUGCCGCGUGUGUGAAGAAGGCCUUUUGGUUGUAAAGCACUUUAAGCGAGGAGGAGGCUCCCAGUAUUAAUACUACUGGAGAGUGGACGUUACUCGCAGAAUAAGCACCGGCUAACUCUGUGCCAGCAGCCGCGGUAAUACAGAGGGUGCAAGCGUUAAUCGGAUUUACUGGGCGUAAAGCGUGCGUAGGUGGCCAAUUAAGUCAAAUGUGAAAUCCCCGAGCUUAACUUGGGAAUUGCAUUCGAUACUGGUUGGCUAGAGUAUGGGAGAGGAUGGUAGAAUUCCAGGUGUAGCGGUGAAAUGCGUAGAGAUCUGGAGGAAUACCGAUGGCGAAGGCAGCCAUCUGGCCUAAUACUGACACUGAGGUACGAAAGCAUGGGGAGCAAACAGGAUUAGAUACCCUGGUAGUCCAUGCCGUAAACGAUGUCUACUAGCCGUUGGGGUCUUUGAGACUUUAGUGGCGCAGCUAACGCGAUAAGUAGACCGCCUGGGGAGUACGGUCGCAAGACUAAAACUCAAAUGAAUUGACGGGGGCCCGCACAAGCGGUGGAGCAUGUGGUUUAAUUCGAUGCAACGCGAAGAACCUUACCUGGUCUUGACAUAGUAAGAACU